CCUACGGGAGGCUGCAGUAGGGAAUCUUCCACAAUGGACGAAAGCCUGAUGGAGCAACGCCGCGUGAGUGAAGAAGGGUUUCGGCUCGUAAAGCUCCGUUGGUAGAGAAGAAAGAUAGAGGUAGUAACUGGCCUUUAUUUGACGGUAAUUAUUUAGAAAGUCACGGCUAACUACGUGCCAGCAGCCGCGGUAAUACGUAGGUGGCAAGCGUUGUCCGGAGUUAUUGGGCGUAAAGGGAGUGCAGGCGGUUCAAUAAGUCUGAUGUGAAAGCCUUCGGCUCAACCGGAGAAUUGCAUCAGAAACUGUUAGACUUGAGUACAGAAGAGGAGAGUGGAACUCCAUGUGUAGCGGUGGAAUGCGUAGAUAUAUGGAAGAACACCAGUGGCGAAGGCAGCUCUCUGGUCUGCAACUGACGCUGAGGCUCGAAAGCAUGGGUAGCGAACAGGAUUAGAUACCCCGGUAGUC
rnacentral:rRNA from 1 species